UUGGAGGGCAAGUCUGGUGCCAGCAGCCGCGGUAAUUCCAGCUCCAAUAGCGUAUAUUAAAGUUGUUGCAGUUAAAAAGCUCGUAGUUGAAUUUCGGGAUCAAUUUGCCGGUCGAGACCUCUGGUACGUACUUGUAUUAUUGAUUUCUUUCAUUCUGAUAAAUCAUUGAUGUCAUUAAUUUGAUGACUUUGAGGAAUCGGAACUUUUACUUUGAAAAAAUUAGAGUGUUUAAAGCAGGCUUAUUAGGCUUGAAUACAUUAGCAUGGAAUAAUGAAAUAGGACGAUUGAUCCUAUUUUUGUUGGUUUCUAGGAUUGACGUAAUGAUUAAUAGGGAUAGUUGGGGGCAUUAGUAUUCAAUUGUCAGAGGUGAAAUUCUUGGAUUUAUUGAAGACUAACUACUGCGAAAGCAUUUGCCAAGGAUGUUUUCAUUAAUCAAGAACGAAAGUUAGGGGAUCGAAGACGAUCAGAUACCGUCGUAGUCUUAACCAUAAACUAUGCCGACUAGGGAUCGGAUGAUGUUAAUUUUUUUUAAUGACUCAUUCGGCGCCUUACGGGAAACCAAAGUGUUUGGGUUC
rnacentral:rRNA from 1 species